rnacentral:rRNA from 1 species
GGACUACAGGGGUAUCUAAUCCCGUUCGCUCCCCUGGCUUUCGCAUCUGAGCGUCAGGUUCUUCCCAGGAUGUUGCCUUCGCCUUUGGUGUUCUUCCGGAUAUCUACGCAUUUCACCACUCCACCCGGAGUUCCACAUCCCUCUGAAGCCCUCAAGUCAUCCAGUAUCCAUAACACUUUCCCAGUUGAGCCGGGAACUGUCAUCAUAGACUUAAACGACCGCCUGCAUGCGCUUUACGCCCAGUAACUCCGGACAACGCUCGCCUCCUACGUAUUACCGCGGCUGCUGGCAC